CGGGUCAUUAUUUACGGACGAC
rnacentral:miRNA from 1 species